rnacentral:lncRNA from 1 species
CUUGCUGGUAUCAGAAAUCCAACAAGAAUUGUUUCUUGAGAGACAUAGUUUUACAAGAGUUUGUUAUUUUUCCUCCCCCAGGGGAAUGGGAAGAGAGAGAGGAAACUGAAGAAAGACAAAGGCUGAGGGCAUGAAGAAGUCAAAGAUAGGAAGGAAGUUUUCAUAGGCUUCAGGGGAUCUUCCUCACUCCAAUCAGCCAGAUAGGAACGGGGAUGAGUUGACCUCCUGGGAGUUUUUUGUCUACUUCCCAUUUUCAGUUUAGCAGCC